rnacentral:rRNA from 1 species
UACGGAGGGGGCUAGCGUUGUUCGGAAUUACUGGGCGUAAAGCGCGCGUAGGCGGACCUGCAAGUCGGGGGUGAAAGCCCGAGGCUCAACCUCGGAACUGCCUUCGAUACUGCGGGUCUCGAGUCCGGGAGAGGUGAGUGGAAUUCCGUAGUGUAGAGGUGAAAUUCGUAGAUAUUAGGAAGAACACCAGUGGCGAAGGCGGCUCACUGGCCCGGUACUGACGCUGAGGCGCGAAAAGCGUGGGGAGCAAACAGG